GGAGUUAGCCGGUGCUUCUUCUGUGAGUGAUGUCCUUCCUGCCGGCUAUUAACCCGCAGGCCUUCUUCCUCACUGAAAGUGCUUUACAACCCGAAGGCCUUCUUCACACACGCGGCAUGGCUGGAUCAGGGUUGCCCCCAUUGUCCAAUAUUCCCCACUGCUGCCUCCCGUAGGAGUCUGGGCCGUGUCUCAGUCCCAGUGUGGCUGAUCAUCCUCUCAGACCAGCUACGGAUCGUCGCCUUGGUGAGCCGUUACCUCACCAACCAGCUAAUCCGACAUAGGCUCAUCCGAUAGCGCGAGGCCCGAAGGUCCCCCGCUUUCCCCCGUAGGGCGUAUGCGGUAUUAGCCUGGGUUUCCCCAGGUUAUCCCCCACUACCGGGCAGAUUCCUAUGCAUUACUCACCCGUCCGCCGCUCGCCACCAGGGAGCAAGCUCCCCGUGCUGCCGCUCGACUUGCAUGUGUUAGGCCUGCCGCCAGCGUUCAAUCUGAGCCAUAAUCAAACUACUGA
rnacentral:rRNA from 1 species